CCUGGCUUCCUUGAGGACAGCAAGGGCUCCACCGAUUUCCACUGAUGGGCUUCAGAUCAGCUCCAGAUUUCUUUCUGGCCUUUCAUUCUGGUGGAGAACAACUUUUUGGCUAUUUACUGAAAGGUGCUGGAGCAGACCGUGGAAAGAGAAAGUCCUGCAGAAAGAGGAGAGGAUGAGCCCAUCCUUCCUGGAAAGGGUGGAGCAGGGUGGCCUCUGGCUCUUCAGGAUGUCAUGGAACACCACCCAUCAGAUCCUGGGGAAUGACUUCAGACUGGCUUGAGGAUAGAACACCACCAAGGAAUGACAUUUUACUUGGAUUUUUAAAGUUCUAGGCAGAGUUUCUGCUCCGGGUCUGGUUGGUAACUGAGUUUAUAACUUUGGCUUUCACUGCUGGGCCACAAGCAGUGUGCUUUGAAAUGGGACUAUCCAUGAGGCAGUACUGGAGUUUUUCCCACCUCCUUCUCCUUAGUGCCUUCCCUUUUCUGCAUUUCUUGUGCUCCUUCAGGCUUUAUUGCACUGGUCAAGAAAGAUGGAUUUGAAAUAGCCAUAGCUUUGCUUUGAAGACUGCUGCAUUUAAAUGAGCUGCUUAACUCCCUUUCUGUCAUGCUUAUGAUAUGAAAAUCAGUAAUUCUUCCCCCUUUCCAACUGGUUUUAGUGGUGUGAGGUGCUGCGCAGAAAGGACUCGCUGUGACUGCAAUGCACUUGGCACCUGAGCAGAGAAAGGGCAGGUUGUGGAUAAAGACUGGGCAGGUCUUCUUGCUGGGACCUUUCCUGAUGGCUGGAAAAUAUCCAGGGUUGAUUUUGUUCAGGUUUUUGCUGUUCUAAGUGGAACUGACUUACAAAAAGUGAUGUUAAGAUGGUCCUGCAAACACAGAGGGGUUGAGAAGUUCAGCAGCUGUGAUGAUGGGUAUUUUUGGGGAAGGAAAGAUGUGUCCAUUAAAAAAUACUUGAGUUUCCAUGUGCAUAAUGCCUAGACCUGCCUCAGCAGAGCAAAUUCUCACCAGCUAGGUGAGAAGUUAUUUUACAAGGACAUGUAGGGCAGGACAGGGGGAAUGGAUUCCCACUGCCAGAGGGCAGGAUUGGGUGGGUUAUCGGGAAGGAAUUCUUCCCUGUGAGGGUGGUGAGGCCCUGCACAGGGUGCCCAGAGAAGCUGUGGCUGCCCCUGGAUCCCUGGAAGUGUUCCAGGCUAGGCUGGAUGGGACUUGGAGCAACCUGGGAUAGCAGAAGGUGUCCCUGCCUGUGGCAGGGGGUGGGAACUGGAUGGGCUUGACGGUCCCUUCCAACCAUUCCAUGAUUGUGCCAGAGCUCUCCAACAUAAGCAGUGGCAACUACCUGCAAAGCCCCUGUGGGGAGACUGAUCUGUGCCUUUCUUCUGUCUGAAGGAGAGACAAGUAAAGCCCUUCCCAGCACUGGUUUCUUCGAGAUGGCAUUGCCUGGCUGUGAAUAUUCAUGUGCAGCUUGUUUCUGCAGCAAAAGUGUGAGCAGGGCUGUGGUGCUGCUAAUUGCAAGUGAAAGUGUUAAUUUUCACACAGUUGUAGAAGAAAUCCCAAUUCGUGAAGAUUUCACUUGAGUCAGGGGUGAAGUUCCUGUCACUUUUAAAAGGCGCAGAUGGGAAAUGCUGAGUUGGAAUAUUCAGCCCCUCUUAAAAUACUUUAUUCCAUCAGAAAGAUUCCCAGGCUCUCUCAGCAUGUUACUUUGUCAAACUCACCUUUUUUUUUCCCUGAGAGAGGUUGGAGUCUCGACUUAUUAUUCAACUUUCUAUUGCAGCUUUGUUUAGUGGAGUUUAUACAUUCUUAGAUCAAACAUUAUACAAUCUGACCAGGAAUCAUGCAAUCACAGUGGGAGAUGGGGAAGAAACAGCAUAAUUUAUUUUAUAAACAAAGGCAUCAUCUACAUUAAAGUACCAGUUGCUUAAUAAAAUGGGUUUUAAUGCAAUAAAAAAAAUAAAUAUGCAGCUUUCCCUGAGCUGUGUUUAGAAAUAGUUGCACUCAAAUGAGGAAUGUGGCGCUCACGUCUUCCCACAGAGGCUGCCUUCAUCUCCUGAAAGCAGCUACCCUGGCUGGUUUUGUCUGGGAAGGCUGAGGGGAUUUGACCAGCUCCUUACUGUAAAAUGGAGUGGAUAAUGAAUGCCAGCAGAAGGACUAAACUCCAUUUAAUACUUAUCCAGAGAUGAACCAGCUGCUCUAGGUUAGAAACACACAAAAACUUGUGCUAGGAGAGCUCUGAGGAGGCUUAGCAGGGACAGCAAAAAGUGAUGUCCAAGCAUCACUAGAUGUUGUCAUUACCCACAGCUUGUUCUGGAGGAUACAUUCAUUAGAUCCCAGUGGGACAGCUUUGCUGGUAAAGCAGGAACUUUGGAAAAAUGGCCAAAUUACUGUGCUUGGGCUGCUGGGUGGGCAGAGGAUCCUCCUGAGUGUUUGCUGGACAGCCAGCCUCGUUGGGGAGCUGGGAAGUUUGCUGUGUUGCAGGCAAAGUGCUGGUGGAUCAAGCUGCUGCUUCUGGAGCUGAGGCCUGGGAAGGAGGAGAGUUGGGGGGAAGGCCACUUUUUCUGAGGAUGUAUUGCAAUGUGGGUAGGGAUCUGGGAAUUAUCAGCUGGAUCAAGACUUCCUUUAUCCAACAAACAUUUUGACAGCUCCUGGAAGAGAAGAAAGGCUAACUUCAGUGAAGGUAGUAGUACAGUGAGCCAGAAGAAGAUUUCAUCCUGGAGCUGCAGUGAGUACAACCUGGACUGUAAACCAAAAGCUGCAAAGAGUUAUUACACACACGUGCACACAAUAGAGCCCAGAGCCCAGCCACUGAGACCCUUCCUUGGGGAUCCAUAUAAAAUACCUCUCACAAAAGCUGCCCUGUGUGCAAGCAGAGGAACUCCUGCUAGUGACGUUAAAAAUGGUAAAAAAAAAAAAAAAAAAAAAAAAAAAAAUCCCACA